UCGGGAAUUUUGGGCAAUGGGCGAAAGCCUGACCCAGCAACGCCGCGUGAAGGAUGAAGUAUUUCGGUACGUAAACUUCGAAAGAAUAGGAAGAAUAAAUGACGGUACUAUUUAUAAGGUCCGGCUAACUACGUGCCAGCAGCCGCGGUAAUACGUAGGGACCAAGCGUUGUUCGGAUUUACUGGGCGUAAAGGGCGCGUAGGCGGCAAUUCAAGUCAUCUGUGAAAUCUCCGGGCUUAACUCGGAACGGUCAGAUGAUACUGCUUUGCUAGAGUGCAGAAGGGGCAAUCGGAAUUCUUGGUGUAGCGGUGAAAUGCGUAGAUAUCAAGAGGAACACCUGAGGCGAAGGCGGGUUGCUAGGCUGACACUGACGCUGAGGCGCGAAAGCCAGGGGAGCAAACGGGAUUAGAUACCCAAGUAGUCCCUGAGCGGGCUGGCAAGGCGCAU
rnacentral:rRNA from 1 species